rfam:Glarea lozoyensis ATCC 20868 chromosome Tnknown GLAREA7, whole genome shotgun sequence.
GCCCGGCUAGCUCAAUCGGUAGAGCGUGAGACUCUUAGAAACUGCCUCAAAAGCAGAAUCAUGUGAUCUCAAGGUUGCGGGUUCGACCCCCGCGUUGGGCU